rnacentral:rRNA from 1 species
CCUACGGGGGGCUGCAGUGAGGAAUAUUGGUCAAUGGGUGAGAGCCUGAACCAGCCAAGUCGCGUGAGGGAGUACUGCCCUAUGGGUUGUAAACCUCUUUUGUCGGGGAGCAAAAGCCGGACGUGUCCGGCUGUGAGAGUACCCGAAGAAAAAGCAUCGGCUAACUCCGUGCCAGCAGCCGCGGUAAUACGGAGGAUGCGAGCGUUAUCCGGAUUUAUUGGGGUUAAAGGGUGCGCAGGCGGAUUUUUAAGUCAGCGGUCAAAUCGUGGGGCUCAACCCCAUCCAGCCGUUGAAACUGGGGAUCUAGAGUGUGCGAGAGGUAUGCGGAAUGCGUGGUGUAGCGGUGAAAUGCAUAGAUAUCACGCAGAACCCCGAUUGCGAAGGCAGCAUACCGGUGCACAACUGACGCUCAGGCACGAAAGCGUGGGUAUCGAACAGGAUUAGAUACCCUAGUAGUC